AAUAGAUACCCAGGUAGUCCCAGCCGUAAACAAUGAGCACUGGGCGGGGGGCCCUCCGACGGGCUCCCAGCCGCAGGGAAACCGUUAAGUGCUCCGCCUGGGGAGUAUGGCCGCAAGGCUGAAACUCAAAGGAAUUGACGGGGGCUCACACAAGCGGUGGAGCAUGUGGCUUAAUUCGAGGCUACGCGAAGAACCUUAUCCCGGGCUUGACAUGUGGGGAUUAGUCGGCGGAAACGUCGGCGACGCCGCAAGGUGGAACCCACGCAGGUGCUGCAUGGCUGUCGUCAGCUCGUGCCGUGAGGUGUUGGGUUAAGUCCCGUAACGAGCGAAACCCCUGCGACCAGUUGCCAGCGCGUCAUGGCGGGGACUCUGGUCGGACCGCCGGCGUCAAGCCGGAGGAAGGCGGGGACGACGUCAAGUCAUCAUGGCCCUUAUGCCCGGGGGCCGCACACGUGCUACAAUGGGGCGGACAGAGCGUCGCGAGACCGCGAGGUCAAGCCAAUCGCAAAAACCGCCCCUCAGUUCGGAUUGCGGGCUGCAACCCGCCG
rnacentral:rRNA from 1 species